rnacentral:rRNA from 1 species
UACGUAGGGACCAAGCGUUGUUCGGAUUUACUGGGCGUAAAGGGCGCGUAGGCGGCGUGACAAGUCACUUGUGAAAUCUCCGGGCUUAACUCGGAACGGCCAAGUGAUACUGUCGUGCUAGAGUGCAGAAGGGGCAAUCGGAAUUCUUGGUGUAGCGGUGAAAUGCGUAGAUAUCAAGAGGAACACCUGAGGUGAAGACGGGUUGCUGGGCUGACACUGACGCUGAGGCGCGAAAGCAUGGGGAGCGAACAGG